rnacentral:rRNA from 1 species
UACAGAGGGUGCGAGCGUUAAUCGGAAUUACUGGGCGUAAAGCGUGCGUAGACGGCUAUCUAAGUCGGGUGUGAAAGCCCCGGGCUCAACCUGGGAAUUGCAUUCGAAACUGAAUAGCUAGGGUACGGUAGAGGGAAGCGGAAUUUCCGGUGUAGCGGUGAAAUGCGUAGAUAUCGGAAGGAACAUCAGUGGCGAAAGCGGCUUCCUGGACCAGUACCGACGUUCAGGCACGAAAGCGUGGGGAGCAAACAGG